UGGGGAAUCUUGCGCAAUGGGCGAAAGCCUGACGCAGCGACGCCGCGUGGGUGAUGAAGGCCUUCGGGUUGUAAAGCCCUGUGGGGCGAGAAGAAUAAGUCGUAGCGAAUAGCUACGAUGAUGACGGUAUCGCCGUAGCAAGCACCGGCUAACUCUGUGCCAGCAGCCGCGGUAAGACAGAGGGUGCAAACGUUGUUCGGAAUCACUGGGCGUAAAGGGUGUGUAGGCGGUGCAAAAAGCCAGGCGUGAAAGCCCGGGGCUCAACCCCGGAAGUGCGCUUGGAACUAUUGCGCUAGAGUCUUGGAGAGGUUGGCGGAAUUCCAGGUGUAGAGGUGAAAUUCGUAGAUAUCUGGAAGAACACCGGCGGCGAAGGCGGCCAACUGGACAAAGACUGACGCUGAGACACGAAAGCGUGGGGAGCAAACAGG
rnacentral:rRNA from 1 species